CACGAAACUUGCCCCGAGAUGAGUUCUCCCUGAGACUAUAAGUCUCCUGAAGGAACGUUAAAGACGAUGACGUUGAUAGGCCGGGUGUGUAAGCGCAGCGAUGCGUUGAGCUAACCGGUACUAAUGAACCGUGAGGCUUAACCUUACAACGCCGAAG
rnacentral:rRNA from 1 species